rnacentral:rRNA from 1 species
AGUGAACGCUGGCGGUAGGCCUAACACAUGCCAGUCGAACGGCAGCACAGUAAGAGCUUGCUCUUACGGGUGGCGAGUGGCGGACGGGUGAGGAAUACAUCGGAAUCUACUUUUUCGUGGGGGAUAACGUAGGGAAACUUACGCUAAUACCGCAUACGACCUACGGGUGAAAGCAGGGGAUCUUCGGACCUUGCGCGAUUGAAUGAGCCGAUGUCGGAUUAGCUAGUUGGCGGGGUAAAGGCCCACCAAGGCGACGAUCCGUAGCUGGUCUGAGAGGAUGAUCAGCCACACUGGAACUGAGGCACGGUCCAGACUCCUACGGGAGGCAGCAGUGGGGAAUAUUGGACAAUGGGCGCAAGCCUGAUCCAGCCAUACCGCGUGGGUGAAGAAGGCCUUCGGGUUGUAAAGCCCUUUUGUUGGGAAAGAAAAGCAGCAGGUUAAUACCCCGCUGUUCUGACGGUACCCAAAGAAUAAGCACCGGCUAACUUCGUG